rnacentral:rRNA from 1 species
CGCGUGAGUGAAGAAGGCCUUCGGGUUGUAAAGCUCUUUUGUCAGGGAAGAAACGGCCUGUUCUAAUACAGUGGGCUAAUGACGGUACCUGAAGAAUAAGCACCGGCUAACUACGUGCCAGCAGCCGCGGUAAUACGUAGGGUGCAAGCGUUAAUCGGAAUUACUGGGCGUAAAGCGUGCGCAGGCGGUUUUGUAAGUUUGUCGUGAAAUCCCCGGGCUCAACCUGGGAAUGGCGAUGAAGACUGCAAGGCUAGAGUUUGGCAGAGGGGGGUAGAAUUCCACGUGUAGCAGUGAAAUGCGUAGAUAUGUGGAGGAACACCGAUGGCGAAGGCAGCCCCCUGGGUCAAAACUGACGCUCAUGCACGAAAGCGUGGGGAGCAAACAGGAUUAGAUACCCUGGUAGUCCACGCCCUAAACGAUGUCUACUAGUUGUCGGGUCUUAAUUGACUUGGUAACGCAGCUAACGCGUGAAG